GGAGGAUGCUGCAUUGACACUCCAGAAGAAGCCGGGUUUGCAUAGAUCAUAUCAGGCUGUCAGUGUGGAGUAGUGCUGGAGGCUGCGGGGCGGCUGCGGGGAAGUUUCCUCAGAGUGCAGAGUGGCAGUCAUUCACAGAGAGACACUUGUGCAGAGAGCGGACUGGCGGCCUUUCACGGAAGGAUAUAAAACACACACCCCCACCUCUGUGCACGGGCGGGUUCGCUGUGGCUUAGGGAUUUGAAGAAGCUGGGCUCCUGGGGUUGGUGCUGGAGUGAUGGUGGUUGUGUGGCGGCCUCAGGAAUGGGCCUGGCAGGCGGUUCUCCUGGUGACCGGACUGGCAUCACUGAGUCGCGGGUCUGAUGCCAACAUGUUGGACACCAUGCUGCAGAAAAACGGAUGGAAGGGGGCUUCGCAGCAAAAGGCGGAGGAGGGCAGCAGCAGC